rnacentral:rRNA from 1 species
GACGAACGCUGGCGGCGUGCCUAAUACAUGCAAGUAGAACGCUGAAGGAGGAGCUUGCUCUUCUGGAUGAGUUGCGAACGGGUGAGUAACGCGUAGGUAACCUGCCUGGUAGCGGGGGAUAACUAUUGGAAACGAUAGCUAAUACCGCAUAAGAGUAGAUGUUGCAUGACAUUUGCUUAAAAGGUGCAAUUGCAUCACUACCAGAUGGACCUGCGUUGUAUUAGCUAGUUGGUGGGGUAACGGCUCACCAAGGCGACGAUACAUAGCCGACCUGAGAGGGUGAUCGGCCACACUGGGACUGAGACACGGCCCAGACUCCUACGGGAGGCAGCAGUAGGGAAUCUUCGGCAAUGGACGGAAGUCUGACCGAGCAACGCCGCGUGAGUGAAGAAGGUUUUCGGAUCGUAAAGCUCUGUUGUAAGAGAGGAACGAGUGUGAGAGUGGAAAGUUCACACUGUGACGGUAUCUUACCAGAAAGGGACGGCUAACUACGUG